UAUUAAAUUGUACAUCAAGUUCCUAUUUCAACAGUUGCAUCUGAGAGUGCAUUUAGUACAAGUGGGAGGGUGCUUGAUGCAUUUAGGAGUUCCUUGACUCCUAAAAUUGUGGAAGCUUUACUGUGUACCCAAGAUUGGUUGAGGUUACAUAAUCAGCCAAUCACAGUUGAGGAA